ensembl:lncRNA
GUUAGAACAGCCAAGGCAUGCAUUUCUCUUUAAGCAAAAGCUCUCAUAUGUUGCUGUUCAUCCUGUCAGUAGACUUUGUUCAAGGUAGUAAUGAAAUAUGGGAGGAACACGAUGCAGGCUUAAGCUCCAAGCACAGCCCGCAUGCACGUGCCAGGCUCGUCCUCUGAGAGUCAACAGAUAUUUCUUGAAAAGGAAGAGAGGUUCAGUUCCUGGAGUAUAUCCAUUCUGCAUAGAUUUGGCAAACGUUGAUCAUACCUAUCUUGUGCUUUGCCUCUGUAAGAAGCAGAGACCCAAGCCAACUUCCUCCAUAUGGUCACAAUGCCUAGAGCCACAGUCAGUUUGGGAAUAUGCUGGCACCAAGAAAAAGAAUAACUGUCAGGCUGAGUGCCAUGAUCUGCCCCAUUUUAAAUAUUGCCUACGAGUGGGCAAGAAACUGCUUCAGAGUACUUCCAGCUGCAGCUGGCAACUGCAUCAAGAAGGUAAAUCAUGGAAAGUGGAUGAAAAGUUAGACAGGAGUAUUAUGUCAAGUGGGACACUGCAGGUUUAAGCAAGACCUUGUGAUGGAGCUGAGCAGAUAAUAACCCUCUAGAUGAAAGCUAGUUCCCAGACUGUCACCAAGAGACUGUUAGAUCAUCCAUGAGAUAUAUAGUAUUCCUGCUUGAAAAGAUGGCUCGUGGCAGGUCAGAUGGAAUGAUGAAUGUUAACAAGGGUCUACAGCCAGCAGUUGGGAAGUUGUAGUCCUAUGACUUUCCACUGGCUCACUUAGUGAUUAUUUCUGGAUUCUACAUUAUCUUAACUUAGAAUGUUCAACAACAAAAAAGUUUAUUGGAGAAAAAAUAUAAUUAUUGGUCAGCUGGAUAUAUUAAUUCUAGCAAUUUGUAAUAACAAUCUCCACUUUUUCUGCUGCACCAUGACAAAUGAAAAUCCAGUCUCUGCCUUGGAGAGUUUAUAAAUAACACUACACUAAUCUUGUGAAGGGCAUGAAAGGGUCAAGGAAGGAAAGGAAUUACUUAGGGUAGCCCAGGGGAGCAGACCUCCUAGUGAAAAGGUGAAGCUAAGUGGAAUUUGUGGCUUAAACAUUAUCAGAGUGCUUCUUGAUAUGGAUUUGACCUUUAAGUGGUCUCCCAAGAGAUAAGGAGAGAA